GUAAGAAACUGGGAGAUUAUGCC
rnacentral:piRNA from 1 species